rnacentral:lncRNA from 1 species
CAGCCACAACUCCUCAGUCCUUCCCAGUCUUUGGAAGGCUAGGAGAGAAAAAGGCGUGGCUUGCAGGGUUUUCUUCUAGCUAGAGGAAAACAGGCUGUAGGCGCCCUUUUUUUAGCUACAAUCCCGAGAGCUCCCACGUGUCAGGGGUGCGCAGACGAGAUGCCGCCCGCCUCUCCGGGCCUGCGAGUGGGCUGGCGGAUACCGGAGUCCCUGAGGUCACCGGCGGAGAUGGGAAAUUUGGGAACCCAGAGGUCAAGAUUCUACUGAAAGUUAAAUAAUUUGUAAGUACCUCAGGCUGGAUUUAAGCCCAGGAUCCUUAAAGCCUUAGCCCUUUGCCCUCAACACAGUGCCCUCCUUGGCCUGGAAUGGAUCUAACUAGUGGAUGCCUCUGGCAGGUGAAUAAUUUGUCUAUCCUUCAAACCUAUGUGUGUUUGAAAUUUAUUCUGGGUUUAUUUGGAGGAAGCAUUGAGUUCUGUGUGCAGGAGGGGCAGAGUAGAAGGACCCUAUAGUCCCAGACCUUCAUAGCCAUCUCAGUAUAGUUAAAGGCCUUGGGUUAAUUGAACUCACACUUCUUGAGAAGGCACUUCACAGGACCACCUCUGGAGUUUGCUGCCUGGCUGGGGGAUGGGGAGUGGGUGUUUCCACACCCUGUCAACCUGGUGGCUUAUCAAUUACAGAUGCUUCCUUAUUUACAGAUAGUCUAAGUUUGAAAGGUAGUUCCUAAGAACAUUUGUGUAUAAGUCCAACUAGGCAUUUGUUAGACAAGCCACUGCCACACCAUCUGUGGGAUGGUUGUCCUCUCAUGUGUAGCUUUGUUUCUGUCUAGGAAAGAUUUAGAGUUGAGUAACAUUUGUAUUCCUUUCAGCCAUGUUCAUUGACCUCCCUAGGAGGAGUAUGAAAAAUUAUUUUUUUCCCUACCUUAUGUUUCCACCAACAUUUUAGUGCUUUUGUGGCAGUUUAGCAUUAUGGAUCAGCGUCCUGGGCAGUUGUCCAGUUGAACCAUCCCCAAGUCAGCUUUGGCCUUAUUGUGCCUCAGUUUCCCAUAGGAUGUCAGAUAGUAGAGCUGACUUGUUUUGUGUACGCAGUUGAUUCAUUGCUGAAAUCCUGUAAUGCCUCAUGCUGUAAGGACGCAUCAAAGCUGUCAUAACCAUGUUUCUAUGAAUUACUCAUGCUUUGUCACGCUACAGGACUAUUCGUAUGGAAAAUGUUGAGGUGCUAUCUUGAUUAUGUCUGAGAAAGUUUUCUUUUCUCCUCAUGGAUAUUUCCACUACAAUGAAAUACCCACUUUUUGUGCCUAGCUGUUUUUAGGUCAGUUAUGGGAAAUGGCAAUGGCAAAUGCUCUAGGCCUGAAAUAAAUUAGGCAACAAAUAAUCAAAAUCACAGAAAGGGAAAGCUAGGAUAGUUUAUUAAUACAUUCUUAGUGUCUCCCAGGGAUCUCUGUUGGUAGAGGGGGACUGAAUAUCAUAGGAUGACCAGCCAUCCUGUUUUGCCUUGACUGAAGGGUUUCCUGGGAUGCCAGACUGUCAGUGCCAAAACCCAGAACAUCCUGGGCAAAUCAGGAAGUUACUCAUCCUACUUUUAAAUAAACUUUUAAUUGUAGAAUAGUUUUUGAUUUACAGAAAAAGUGCAAAGAUACAAUAGAGAGUUUCCAUGUACUCCACACCUAGCUUCUCCUAUUAUUAGUAUCUUACAUUAGUAUGGUACGUUUGUCACAAUUAAUAAACCA